rnacentral:rRNA from 1 species
AUACGUAGGGUGCGAGCGUUGUCCGGAAUUACUGGGCGUAAAGAGCUCGUAGGUGGUUUGUCGCGUCGUCUGUGAAAUUCCGGGGCUUAACUCCGGGCGUGCAGGCGAUACGGGCAUAACUUGAGUACUGUAGGGGAGACUGGAAUUCCUGGUGUAGCGGUGAAAUGCGCAGAUAUCAGGAGGAACACCGGUGGCGAAGGCGGGUCUCUGGGCAGUAACUGACGCUGAGGAGCGAAAGCAUGGGUAGCGAGCAGGAUUAGAUACCCUGGUAGUCCAUGCCGUAAACGGUGGGCGCUAGGUGUAGGGGUCUUCCACGACUUCUGUGCCGUAGCUAACGCAUUAAGCGCCCCGCCUGGGGAGUACGGCCGCAAGGCUAAAACUCAAAGGAAUUGCCGGGG